rnacentral:rRNA from 1 species
UACGUAGGGGGCAAGCGUUGUCCGGAAUCAUUGGGCGUAAAGCGCGUGUAGGCGGCUUGGUAAGUCUGCUCUGAAAGCCCGGGGCUCAACCCCGGGAGGCGGGUGGAUACUGUCAAGCUCGAGUCCGGAAGAGGAGUGUGGAAUUCCUGGUGUAGCGGUGAAAUGCGCAGAUAUCAGGAGGAACACCGGUGGUGUAGACGGCUUUCUGGACCGUAACUGACGCUGAGACACGAAAGCGUGGGUAGCAAACAGG